UACGUAGGGUGCGAGCGUUAAUCGGAUUCACUGGGCGUAAAGGGUGCGCAGGCGGCCGUGUGUGUGAGGCGUGAAAGCCCGGGGCUUAACCCCGGAAUUGCACCUCAAACUACAUGGCUAGAGCAUUGGAGAGGGUAGCAGAAUUCACGGUGUAGCAGUGAAAUGCGUAGAUAUCGUGAGGAAUACCAGAGGCGAAGGCGGCUACCUGGACAAUUGCUGACGCUCAGGCACGAAAGCGUGGGGAGCAAAAGGG
rnacentral:rRNA from 1 species